GACAGAGGGGGCAAGCGUUGCUCGGAAUCACUGGGCGUAAAGGACGCGUAGGCGGGAUGGCAAGUCGGUCGUGAAAUCCCUGGGCUCAACUCAGGGGGGUCGGCCGAUACUGCCGUUCUUGAGGGAUGCAGAGGAGACUGGAAUUCCCGGUGUAGCGGUGAAAUGUGUAGAGAUCGGGAGGAACACCGGUGGCGAAGGCGGGUCUCUGGGCAUUCCCUGACGCUGAGGCGCGAAAGCGUGGGGAGCAAACGGG
rnacentral:rRNA from 1 species